rnacentral:misc_RNA from 1 species
AAAAUUUGUAUAAAUUAAAUUUUGCUUUUGCCAGAUGAUUUUUAACACUAAAAAUGUGAAAAUUAAAUGAAAUUAUAUGUCUCGUGAAGCGAUAGUGUCUUAGAUUUUAUUUUAUGCGGUGUUCUUAAAGGCCAAGUUUCUAGGCUAUACCGUGAAAAUUAUGCUUCUUGACUAAAAUGACAGACACUUUCAUCUUAAUAAAUUCAGGUUGG